UUACAGCCAUAUCACUUUGAAAACCUGCUCUCGUCCGAUCACCGAAGUUAAGCAACGUCAAGCCUGGUAAGUACCUAGAUGGGUGACCGCUU